rnacentral:rRNA from 1 species
UCGAGAAUAUUCCACAAUGGGCGAAAGCCUGAUGGAGCGACGCCGCGUGCAGGAUGAAGGUUUUCGGAUCGUAAACUGCUUUUCUUCGGGAGAAACUUCGGUGAUAGUACCCGGAGGAAUAAGGGGUUGCUAACUACGUG